GACACCAGGAGAGGAACACGUCCCCGCGCUUCGUCGUACGCACCACCCAACGACGGCUCUGAUUGUUCGGAGCGGCGAGGGACGAGGCGAGACGG
rnacentral:rRNA from 11 species